GAUAUCGCCACGAUGUAGUUUAAAUUGAUCAAAACAGAUAUUCAAGGUUGAUUUACUUUUCAUACACUUAUUUUUUUUUCUAUCGCACACAAAAAAUGUCCAUGAUAUGGACUGUUUUGACGAGGAGAGGAUUUAUCAGAUGAAAACUGUAACUACACGAAAUCAGCAUAUUUUUGUGCAGUUAUUCAUACGAGACUUGUACCGGUUUCUCAAGGUAGUUUACACCUGUGUGACUUUUAACGUGUUCUGGCAGAACGCCACAUGGGUAACGGGAGACAUCUGUUUUAACUUGCUACGGAAUAUGGGACGUCAACUUACUACUCUAGAUUAUAAUAUUUAAAACUGAUCGUAAUCUCUAAUCAGCGCCUACCCUGAAUUAACUCCAGACGUGGAUUUCGGGUGUAAGUCCUGUUUUGUAAGUGAGAUUUGACGCCGUUGGGAGGCUGGGCAUUGUGUAAUUUGUUGUAGUAACAACGACUCGGGAGUAUGGACGAUCAACAAAGGACGAAAGUCCAACCCUUUUUAGUGACCUUUAAGUGGCCAUAUCGUUGGAUGAUAUGACUUUGUUCUUCCAGCUUAUAACGUCAGAAAAAUGAGUCUGCUUGUCGCUCUGAGGCGAUAAAAUGCACUUGUUACGCGAACACAGCACGGACUGUAGUACAUCUCGUGUGCACGUGAAAGGAUUGUGUAUUUCUGUAUACUUAGCAAACAGGGAGAUUUUUGGAUAAUACAAAAAGCUAAAAUCACAUAAGGUAGGCAAAGAGUGGCGUGAUUUGUUAUCGACUAGUUUGCCGUGAUUUUUAUCGACUAGUUUGCUGUGGUUGAACAGUCGCAUUAAUACUAACAUAAUUUCAAAAUUCCUAACAUUGUUUGUUUCUGGAAAAUAAUUUGUUAUUUUCAAGUAAACAGUAACUUUAGUUUUGAAUUAUAGCGUGGAAUUUGAAUCUAAGAACAAAAAAGUAACAUAACAGUUCUCAUCUCUAUGUCUGACCUAAUCUUUGAUACGAACACGGGAUGGAAAUCCGGAAUUCUGUGUUUUUGAUUGAUGCUAAUUAAUAAAGUUUGGUUUUGAUGAAAUAAAAUUUGACACUUCUUACA